AACGAACGCUGGUGGUAUGCCUAAUACAUGCAAGUCGAACGAGAAAGCUCUUCGGAGUGAGUACAGCGGCGCACGGGUGAGUAACACGUAGGUGAUCUGCCUUUUAGUGGGGGAUAACACCGGGAAACCGGUGCUAAUACCGCAUGUGAUGGAGGAAAUUGGAAAACUUCAUCAAAGGGGGCUUCGGCUCUCGCUAGAAGAGGAGCCUGCGUAACAUUAGUUUGAUGGUGGGGUAAUGGCCUACCAUGGCAAUGAUGUUUAACUGGUCUGAGAGGAUGAUCAGUCACACUGGAACUGAGACACGGUCCAG
rnacentral:rRNA from 1 species